rnacentral:rRNA from 1 species
AUGCACGCUGGCGGCGUGCCUCAUCCCUGCCAGUCGCGCGAACAGACGAGGAGCUUGCUCCUCUGACGUUAGCGGCGGACGGGUGAGUAACACGUGGAUAACCUACCUCUAAGACUGGGAUAACUUCGGGAAACCGGAGCUAAUACCGGAUAAUAUAUUGAACCGAAUGGUUCACUAGUGAAAGACGGUUUUGCUGUCACUUAUAGAUGGCUCCGCGCCGCAUUAGCUAGUUGGUAAGGUAACGGCUUACCAAGGCGAGGAUGCGAAGCCGACCUGAGAGGGUGAUCGGCCACACUGGAACUGAGACACGGUCCAGACUCCGACGGGAGGCAGCAGUAGGGAAUCUUCCGCAAUGGGCGAAAGCCUGACGGAGCAACGCCGCGUGAGUGAUGAAGGUCUUCGGAUCGUAAAACUCUGUUAUUAGGGAAGAACAAAUGUGUAAGUAACUAUGCACGUCUUGACGGUACCUAAUCAGAAAGCCACGGCUAACUACGUG